rnacentral:rRNA from 1 species
AACGAACGCUGGCGGCAGGCUUAACACAUGCAAGUCGAACGCCCCGCAAGGGGAGUGGCAGACGGGUGAGUAACGCGUGGGAAUCUACCCAAUUCUUCGGAACAACUGAGGGAAACUUCAGCUAAUACCGGAUACGCCCUACGGGGGAAAGAUUUAUCGGAAUUGGAUGAGCCCGCGUUGGAUUAGCUAGUUGGUGAGGUAAUGGCUCACCAAGGCGACGAUCCAUAGCUGGUCUGAGAGGAUGAUCAGCCACACGU